rnacentral:rRNA from 2 species
CGGGCAACAGUGCGAUGAAGGCCGCCUCGAGCGAAUCGCAGCCGGUGCGCGCGAGCAGCUCGGCGGGCGCGCCCGUCGCGAGCACGCGGCCCGCGUCCAUCGCGAUCAGCCAGUCGAAGCGUUGCGCCUCGUCCAUGUACGCGGUCGCGACGAUCACGCUCAUCGCCGGCCGCUCCGAGCGAAUGCGCGCGAUCAGAUCCCAGAACUGCGCGCGCGCGAGCGGAUCAACGCCGGUCGUCGGCUCGUCGAGGAUCAGCAGGUCGGGAUCGUGGAUCAGCGCGCAGCAUAGGCCGAGCUUCUGCUUCAUCCCGCCCGAGAGCUUGCCCGCGGGCCGCGACAGGAACGCAAAGAGGCCGGUGCUCCGCGUGAGCGCGUCGAUCCGGCGGCGGCGCUCGUCGGCGUCGUGGCCGAACAGGCGCGCGAAGAACUGCAGGUUUUCCUCGACGGAGAGCGUCGGAUACAGGUUCUUGCCGAGCCCCUGCGGCAUGUACGCGAUGCGCCGGCACACGCGCUCGCGAUGGCGGCGCGAGCGCAUGUCGCCGCCGAGCGCGUCGACCGCGCCCGUCUGCAGCGCGCGCGCGCCGGCCGCGAGCGCGAGCAGGCUCGAUUUGCCGACGCCGUCCGGCCCGAUCAGCCCGAUCGUGAGACCGGCCGGGAUCUCGAGCGUGAUCCGCUCGAGCGCGACGGUCUUGCCGUAGCGCAGGCUGACGUCGGAAAAACGAACGACGCUCGGCGCGCUCACUGCGGAACCUUGACCAUCAGUUGCGCGGGCCACGGCUUGCUCGGGUCGACGCGCACCCACGCGACGCCGGGCAGCCCGGUCUUCACGAGCUUCAGGUGCUUUUGCAGCAGCUCGCGAUCGAUGCGCGCCUUCACGCGGAACAUCAGCUUCUGCCGUUCGUUCGCGGUCUCGACGGUCUUCGGCGUGAACUGCGCGGUGCUCGACACGAACGACACGGUGGCGGGAAUCACGUAGUUCGGCGCGGCAUCGAGGAUGAUGCGCGCGUCGGCGCCGAGCGCGACCCGGCCGACGACCGUCUCCGGCAGGAAGAACGUCAUGUAGACGUCCGACAGGUCGACGAGAUUGAGCACCUUGCCGCCCGCCGGCAGCACUUCGCCCGGCUGCGCGACGCGAUACUGCACGCGGCCGUCGCGCGGCGAUGCGAGCUGGCUGUCGUCGAUGUCGGCCUGCACGCGGGCGACGGUGGCGUCGGCCGCCGUCACCGCCGAAUGCGCGGCGACGAGCUGCGCCUCGGUCGCCUCGAUCGCGGCCUGCGCGGCGGCCACCUGCGCGGCCGCCGCGGACACGGCCGCCUGCGCGCUGCGCGCGCGCGAUCGUCGUCGAGCUCCUGCAGCGACGACGCGCCUUCGCGCGAUAGCGUUUGCGAGCGCGCGAGCCGGCGCUCGGCCGCGUCGAGUUCG